AUGAGCUGCUUUCAGUUGCCCGUUGAUACUUGCGAGAAGUUUCGUCAGAUUAUUGCUGAUGAGUGGUGGGGCCGUGAAGAUGGGAAAAGGAAAUUGCAUUGGCGCUCUUGGGAGUGGCUUACUACACCUAAGGCGCUUGGUGGUACGGGCUUCCGUGACAUGGCCCUUUUCAAUCUUGUUAUGCUUGCCAAACAAGGAUGGAGGUUGUUGACGGACCCAUCUUCACUAUGUGCUCGUGUUUUGAAAUGCCGAUAUUUUCCAACAUCCAAUUUCUGGAACGCAAUGGCACCAAGGUCUGCAUUUGCUACCUGGCGAGCCAUUUUGGCCGGUCGAGAA
rnacentral:rRNA from 1 species